rnacentral:rRNA from 1 species
GACGCUGGCGGCGUGCCUAACACAUGCAAGUCGAACGGAGUAGAGACUUCGGUUUUUACUUAGUGGCGAACGGGUGAGUAACGCGUGAGAAACCUGCCUUUCAGUGGGGGACAACAGUUGGAAACGACUGCUAAUACCCCCAUAAUACUAUAGGAGGCAUCUCCUUUGGUUGAAAGUUCCGGCGGUUAAAGAUGGACAUGCGUUGUAUUAGCUAGAUGGUGAGGUAACGGCUCACCAUGGCGACGAUACAUAGGGGGACUGAGAGGUUAACCCCCCACACUGGUACUGAGACACGGACCAGACUCCUACGGGAGGCAGCAGUGAGGAAUAUUGCGCAAUGGAGGCAACUCUGACGCAGCAAUGCCGCGUGAAGGAUGAAGGUUUUCGGAUUGUAAACUUCUUUUGUGAGGGACGAUAAUGACGGUACCUCACGAAUAAGCCACGGCUAACUACGUG